rnacentral:rRNA from 1 species
UACAGGGGGGGCAAGCGUUGUUCGGAAUUACUGGGCGUAAAGGGCUCGUAGGUGGCCGACUAAGUCAGACGUGAAAUCCCUCAGCUUAACUGGGGAACUGCGUCUGAUACUGGAUGGCUUGAGUUUGGGAGAGGGAUGCGGAAUUCCAGGUGUAGCGGUGAAAUGCGUAGAUAUCUGGAGGAACACCGGUGGCGAAGGCGGCAUCCUGGACCGGCAUUGACGCUGAGGCGCGAAAGCCAGGGGAGCAAACGGG